rnacentral:rRNA from 1 species
GACAGAGGGUGCGAACGUUGUUCGGAAUUACUGGGCGUAAAGCGUGUGUAGGCGGCAAGGCAAGUCGGAUGUGAAAUCCCGUGGCUCAACCAUGGACGUGCACUCGAAACUGCCUAGCUAGAGUCUCGGAGAGGAAGGUGGAAUGCUUGGUGUAGAGGUGAAAUGCGUAGAUAUUGGGAGGAACACCAGUGGCGAAGGCGGCUCACUGGACCGGUACUGACGCUGAUGCGCGAAAGCGUGGGGAGCAAACGGG